GGUUGGGUAGGGGCCCUCGUCUUACCCAGCAGUGUUUGGGUGCUGGUUGGGAGUCUCUAAUACUGCCGGGUAAUGAUGGAGGCCCCUG
ensembl:miRNA